UAGUUGUUCUUUGGAAUAUAAGUAGUAGCAGAAUGAAGAAAUACGACGCCUUGAAGAGUUCCCUUUUACUCAACAACGCCACAAACCCUUUCCCAUUGGUUGCUUCCUUUGCCUUUUUCGAAAACUAAAUUUUCCGUUCUAGGUAUUCAGCAUUACUUGAUUUCUAUCUGAUAUAUAGAUUGAAUGCGUGUUUUUGGGUUCGGGGUAUACAAUAUUACAUGAUUUUUGUGUUUAUGUCAAUCUUCUUCUCUUCUGAUUCACAAAUAAGGGCAAGAAGAUUGUCAUAAACUCCAAACUUUUAUUUCAUAAAAAUGUUUCCGGUGGAGGAAAAUAAAUCCAGUGAAAAAUCUAUUGAAAAUAAAAGAAAUCUUUCUAAUUUUUAGAAGUGGCAUGAGGCUUACAAAAGAAAAACUCCUGAUAAUGCAUGGAAGCUUCCACGGUCUGCGACGGUUCUCAUUCAAGAGGAUCAUGCUCAUGACCCUUGGAUGGUUCUAGUCAUUUGUAUGCUUCUCAACCGGACUUCUGAUACACAGAUCUCAUGUAAAAUCUAUCAAACAUGAAUAGGAAAUAACUUGGGAUCAUGGAAUAAAAUUUUUAAUUUUUCUGUUUUUUCUGUCUUUUCUUUUGGUAUUAGUUAGAAGACUUUUUAUUUGACAGCUAACUAUGCACGUCACUGCAACUAAACUAAUGAAAUUCAGUUUCUUUUUGGAUGAAGAUAUUUUUCAUGUUAAUAUGUAGACAUGUCAUUCUAAUCCUAAGCUCCAGAGCUAGCCUUGGCCUCUUCUAAAGCUAGACCCUAAUUUUUUAAUCCACACGUUAGGGGCUUUUCCAAAGCCCCUGACCCUGGAGCCCCAUGAAGUGGGUUAAGAUAGGAGUAGGGCUGGGUUAUCUCCACUGGCUCCAGAUGAAAAAAUCCCAUGCCUGAUUUUGACUCAACUACUUGUUCUUCUUCUCCUCUUUGCACUUCUCUUUUUCUUUGUCGUCUUCCCUUUGAAUCCCACCGACAACCUCAUCACCGCCGGCACGACUCCUCCGUCGAUCUCUUCCGAUUUCUUCCUCUUCGAUGCUAUUCAGCAGAUUGAGUUACCACAGUCUAUUCACGAUUCAUCGUCCUCUCAUUCAACAACCACUCCUCAACACCUGUUUGCUGCAGAGACAUGAGUGGCAACAAUCUUGGCGGCAGCAUACCAUACCAGCGAUUGUAUGUUUCAAUUGACAUGGGGUUGUUCUCUUCCGUGUAUUUUAUUUAUGAUAUGAUUUAUAACGUUCUUAGUUCUGUGUGCAGAAAUCUUGCUUAUAAUAAUAUCACAGGGAAUGUUCCUUACUCUAUUUCAAACUUGAACGCUCUUACAGACCUGUGUGUAAUUUUUUUGUUGUAAAUUUAUCAUAGUUGUACUGCAUUGACCACCACUACAAACACCUGGAAUAAUAUGUACAAAAUUAUGCUUCUUAAUCGUAAUAAAUCUUUAUCUAUAAUAA